GUGAAAUUUCGUAGGCCUACUGACAUACUGUGAUCGGCGGUUUUCAGAUGUCAAAUAGCUUUGACAAUUUUAUAGCAAGUCCCUACAUGAGUCUUGAGUACCCUGGUAAAAUUUCAAGCCAUUUCAACUUCGUUUGAUAUUUCUUUAAAAUUCAAAACCUAAACUGCACAUUAAUAUCGAGAAUUUCAGAGAACAGGGGAAAGAGUCGUUUAUUUCAGUAUCUUCCUAUGUGAUAUAGCUUUCCACUUUUUUAUGGUAUCAACCUUUUUCUGUUAUCUAGAUAUACACGAAAGUUGAGCCCAGUUUGACAACGUUUACUAUUUUUCAAAAAUUGUAACUUUCGGUUGCACAAAACUGCCAGAAAUGGUAGAUCGUGGUAAAAAUGUCAUAUCUCUCAAACCAAUUGGAGUUUUCGACUCUACUUUUUUUUAAAUGAAACUAGACUCGAAGAUCUUUCUUUCGGUAUGAGUCUCGAGUCCAGGAGAUGUCGGAGUCAGAACAGUUUAAUUUUUGACGUUGAGUCAGUGUAAAAAUAGAGCAUGUUUUGAUGAUGUUUGAUUGUGAUUUCUUAUGUGCCUUAUGUGAUUGUUUUGCCUAUGUGUUUGAAUGAGAUUAGACGAGCCUUAUAUGAGAGAUAAAUCGAAACUUAGAACCAUGAUUUUCUUGAAACCUAUCCUUGAACUUAAGGAUUUGAGAUGAGUGGAGAGUUAUAUAGAGUUGAGUAAGGAGAUAGAAUAUGAGAUAGAGCAUGAGUUAAGGCUUGAGAAUUAGUCAAUGAGUUUCUAAUCGAGAUUCAUUUUAUGACAUGAACCUUCGAUGAUGAUGAUGAUCCCUGAAGACACGAGCAUAGCAAGGAAGUAAGUAGCUCCGCUUUGACGGGAGGUUUUGAGUAAGGUCUUCAGGUGGGCAUUAUUUUGAGUAUACAGUUUAAGAGCUUUUCUAAACUGUUUUAAAUGAUGAUGAAAUUACGAGAUGUUUUGAGAUUAUAACGAUGUUUGAGAAUUAUUGACUUGCCAAUAUUUUUAUGAUGAUGUUGAGCUUGUAUGUUUACCCUCUACUGUUGAGAUGAGACGAUCGGGUCCUGGGCAGUUGAUAGCUAUCCUGCCAGGGCUAGUGUACACUGAGGUGACUGUGAGCCGUUGAGCGAAUCGGCCGGUCACGGUGCUUGAGAAGGAGGCCGACUUCUCAAUACCUGAGUUGAGAUGAUGAUGAGUUGUAGAUGUGGUACUUACUUGCUGAGUUUUGACUGCAGUCAUUUGAGUCAUUCAUUCAUUUAUUGAUGAUGUUGAGUUUUAACUGCAUGCACAGGAUUUUCUAACUGUUAUUCCUGUGUAUUACUGAAGUGUGGCAAGUUCAAUUUAUAGCUCUAUGAGCAACUUUGUUUUCGGCGAUAUGCCCACUGAGUAUUUAUGUACUCACGCCCUGCAUGUAUUUCUAAACGUGCAGGAUAAGCGGAGGGGGAGUAUGGUGCGGUGCUGGUGGGGAAUGUUUCGGGUUGACGUUUUCUUUCUCUAUCGUAUGUCUGUUUUGUCGAUAGAGUUUUGAUAUGAAGUUAUGUUAUAUUAAAUCAAGCAGUUUAGUCACGAUUAUGUGUCUUCAUACAUAUAGUCGGUUCACCUUUUGUUAUCACACUCUGAAUAUUAUGACUCUACAUAAAAAUCGAGCUAUACUUGUUUUGCUUUUCAUGUUGAGAUUCCUGAUAUUUAUCGAGUUAUGACUAUGUUGACGAAUAUACCCUUUUGAUGAAUUAUGAUGAUCUUUCCUUAGCAUGUUUCUUUGUGAGCUUCCGCUGUUGAUCUAUGUAUUCUUUCUAUCUUUCCCCUUUCUUUUAUUAGUCGUAUCGAUACUCGGUCCCCGCUAUUACUAGUGUCGGAACCGGGAUGCGACAGAGUGGUAUCAGAGCAGGUCGUCUGCUCUGAGUUUAAUGCUUGAUUGAGCUGAGCUUUUAUUUGCUCUUAUUUAUGAGUUGAGUACUAGUCUAAUUUGAGUUCUUAGACUGGUUUGAGAGUCAGUCGAAACAGAACCCCAGCACCCCAUCUCCUCCGACUUAUCGAGGUAAGAGCUUUUGAUGUUUUCUUUUCCGCUUUCAUGCUGAGUUUUGAGUUGACCCACUGAUGAGUUAUUUGAUGUUUGAUGGCGGAACUAUUUGAGCAUGAUGAGAACCAUGAGUUGAGGAAUUUUUGGGAGUCAUGUUGAGGCUAAUAUAGAUGUUGCCCCACCGUACCAAAUGAGGAAGAGUAUGUUGAUUGUGGUGGAAUACCAAGAGAUUUAGGUUUUCGAGUUGGAAGAGUGCAAUUUUGGAGAGAAGUGGCGUUUUUGAUGUUCUGGUGUGCAGAAGCGAAGUCGCCAGAGAAGUCGCUGGUCAGAGCAGUGAAAUCUGCUCAAGCCAGAGAAAUCGACAAGCCAGCCGCGGAAGCCAGAGCAGAGAAAUGCACCAAGUCAGAGAAGCAAAGCUCCGUGUCAAAGAAAUUGCGUGCGCCAGAGAAAUCACCCGCCAGAGCGGAGGAAGCGCCAGAGGAAUCAAGGCGCCAGGGAGUCAAUAAUGCCAGAGGGUAGAGAUACGUCAGAGGAAUCAAUACCAGAGAGGAACCCAUUCCGCUGACAAGAUCAGAGAAGUCAUCCGUUCCUCUGGCAAUAGCCAUUCCUCUGGCGAGAGCCGCGAUUUCCGCCCGAGUGGAGAUUACUUGCUGAGCGCGUCAUAGCUGGAGUUACCUUAUCAUCUACGAUUCUAUUCCUUUUAGAGUCCGGCUUUGCAUGGUAAUUUCCAUGGUGAUCCAGAAGGAGUUGAAGUCUAUAAAUAGGGCCAUAGUUUUCAUUGUAUAAUUAAUUCUUGCCCUAGUUUUAGAAGCCAUCUUAGAGAGCUGUUGGCAUCCGAAGCUUAGGAUUUAAUUGCUUUCUUAGUGCUUUCAUAGUUUCGAGUUUUCAUUGUUCUAGUUAGGUUUCAAUUUAGUUUUAUUUAGUUUUUAUGCUUGGAUUGUGAUUGAGUGACACAAUUUCAUAUUCAAGACGUU